rnacentral:rRNA from 1 species
GAUGAACGCUGGCGGCGUGCCUAAUACAUGCCAGUCGAGCGAACGGACGAGAAGCUUGCUUCUCUGAUGUUAGCGGCGGACGGGUGAGUAACACGUGGAUAACCUACCUAUAAGACUGGGAUAACUUCGGGAAACCGUAGCUAAUACCGGAUAAUAUUUUGAACCGCAUGGUUCAAAAGUGAAAGACGGUCUUGCUGUCACUUAUAGAUGGAUCCGCGCUGCAUUAGCUAGUUGGUAAGGUAACGGCUUACCAAGGCAACGAUGCAUAGCCGACCUGAGAGGGUGAUCGGCCACACUGGAACUGAGACACGGUCCAGACUCCUACGGGAGGCAGCAGUAGGGAAUCUUCCGCAAUGGGCGAAAGCCUGACGGAGCAACGCCGCGUGAGUGAGGAAGGUCUUCGGAUCGUAAAACUCUGUUAUUAGGGAAGAACAUAUGUGUAAGUAACUGUGCACAUCUGGACGGUACCUAAGCAGAAAGCCACGGCUAACUACGG